rnacentral:lncRNA from 1 species
GAAGACGGGUAUUUAAGCUUCAUAUCUCAGCCGAAGCCUACACGAUGGAUCACGAAGGCUACACGAUGGAUUACGAUGAUGGCGCGAUGGCCAUACGAUGUCUAAAAGGAUACGAACAGAAUUUCGACAACAUAUCGUUUCUGUACAAGUCUGCCAUGCAUGGCGGGAAAUCGAUCUUUUUGUCUAAUUCUUAUAAAACUUAGUUUAUUAUCCCCUCGCCUACUACAUGUAAGUUGCGUGUAUAUAAAAUUGUUAUUGACACUCUAGACCCAAAAUGCUCAAAACUUGGUAUGGUGUUACUCGUUAAGAAUAUCUUAAGCGCUAUUGACUUUAAAGUUCAAAGGUCGAGGUCACAGUGGCAGUUGUAAUACAAGGCAAUAUCACCCUUGUGGACACUCUAAAACCAAUAUGCUUCAAAAGAUUUUAACCACAUUUGGUAUAUUGUUC